rnacentral:lncRNA from 1 species
AUGCAUGCUGGGCUGUAAUUUAUGAAACGGAGCCCAGGAAACAACCAAUCGCUCAGCUUCUCCUAACAAGUCCAACUGGCUAUGAAAAGCUGGAAGUGCUGCACAGAACAAUGAAGAGGAGCUAUCCCACAUAUUAAUCUGCUUUUCUAGGAUUGCCUUCUGUGUCGAGAGAGGGAAGCAUGUAAAAGGGAGAGGAAAAAAAAAAAAGAAAAAUCAGAGCUUCACUGUUAAAAGAACAGAAUAAAUUCCACUCAACAUGAAAAUCCUCCAUUGCAGUCUGAUGAC